rnacentral:lncRNA from 1 species
UUGUCGAAGCCGGUCAAAAAUAACCUUUCUGGUUAUCAACAAUUUACAACUGCAGAUAGUGGUGAAAGAAUCGAAUCCACAGAGAGUUGAUUACCUAUUUAUUUUUCUCAACAAGACCAAGAGAAUUAACUGGAAUAAUAAUAAACUAAAAAAAUGAGAUAAACACUGAAAGUGGGAUCAAAUGAGAUAAACCAAAAAUGAGAUAAAAAUAAAUUGCAAUUAAAGUAAAAGGGGGGUUUGAGAUUGAUUUAAUUAAUAAACUACUAAAAGCAAUUAAAAUAAACGAAUGAUAAAAUAAAAGAGAAAUAAAUAAUAAGA